GAUGAACGCUAGCGGCAGGCUUAAUACAUGCAAGUCGAGGGGUAACAUGGGGUAGCAAUACUCUGAUGACGACCGGCAAACGGGUGCGGAACACGUACGCAACUUUCCCAAAACUAGGUGAAUAGCCCUCCGAAAGGAGGAUUAAUACACCGUAACAUAUAGAGGUGGCAUCGCCUUUAUAUUAUAGCUCCGGCGGUUUUGGAUGGGCGUGCGCCUGAUUAGGUAGUUGGUGUGGUAACGGCUCACCAAGCCUACGAUCAGUAACUGGUGUGAGAGCACGACCAGUCACACGGGCACUGAGACACGGGCCCGACUCCUACGGGAGGCAGCAGUAAGGAAUAUUGGUCAAUGGACGAAAGUCUGAACCAGCCAUGCCGCGUGAAGGAUGAAGGCCCU
rnacentral:rRNA from 1 species